rnacentral:hammerhead_ribozyme from 1 species
ACACUGCUGACGAGUCCCAAACAGGAGCAAACAGCUGUCCAGUGC